rnacentral:rRNA from 1 species
UACGGAGGGUGCGAGCGUUGUCCGGAAUCACUGGGCGUAAAGGGAGCGUAGGCGGCGCGGUAAGUCAGAUGUGAAAUCCCGGGGCUCAACCCCGGAACUGCAUCCGAUACUGCCGUGCUAGAGGAUUGGAGAGGUAGCUGGAAUUCUUGGUGUAGCAGUGAAAUGCGUGGAGAUCAAAGAGGAACACUCGUGGCGAAAGCGAGCUACUGGACAAUAUCUGACGCUGAGGCUCGAAGGCCAGGGUAGCGAAAGGG